GUAAAGAUUCCCUGUCUUAUUGCAGGUUCCCGUGUGUGUGGUACAUCAAAAGAUUUAGUGUCAAGGAUUUAACCUGAGUGGGCUGCACUCAGUCUCCUGCAGGAAUUUCAAAAUGACCAAACAGACUAUAGUGGAGUGGAGAAAUUUGGAUUUUGCCAAUGUAUCCUGUUUCCUGUAAUGGUGUUCGUGAUGCCUCAUCUGGGAAGGUUCUUCUGUAAACCUCACGUAGCUGUGAAGCAGUAACUGCAAGCUGUUUUGAGAAGUGACUUUUGCCACAUCCUGAAGAUUUGCCGUAUCUGUGGUAUUAUUUCAGCCGUGCCAGGUGAGAUAUCCACGUUUCCCCUGGUGAGUCAGUGCUUUGCAUGGUACAAGUUUCCUGUGGCCUGUUGGGACUGGGAGCAGUUUGACAGGGCUGGCUGUCAAAUAAAGCUUUGGAAAUGA
rnacentral:lncRNA from 1 species